rnacentral:lncRNA from 1 species
CUGUUACUGUCACUUUAAGGACUGCAGUCAAGACUGGAUUCCAAAAUGCCCACCACCUACGGACUGUGAAGAUGCAUUGGCAGGGCAAAUGAUUUCUGUUGUCUUGACAGCUCAUCCCACCCUGUUGUACUUCAGCCUGGCUGGUGCAGAAACUUCUCUUGGAAGGGCUUUGCACAUGGAGAGCUCCUUCCCUUCCUGCUGCAGUUCCCCCUCCCACGCCUGCAGGAGGACACUUUCUGACCCCGGUUGAGGAGGCAGGGUGUGAGCUGGAGACUGCAGCAGCAGCUGUCAGGGUUCAGCUUUGUUCCAUGUGCUCACUCACUUUGGGUUUGUUAAGUCCCCAAAUUGCCGUAAAGUGCUCACAAAGGAUUUGUACUUGCUGUGUCAGUCUGAAACCUGAAGGAAAAUACAUUUUUAUUCUUUCUACUUGGG